rnacentral:lncRNA from 1 species
CCGGAAGGAUCGGAUGCGAUGUCAAUACAUGGAAUGCCACCAUGUCGUUUUCUACUGCCCCCGGUUUGAGCUGAUGAGACAACGUGCAUGGUUGUGUGUCAAGUUUCAGCAAAGCAUCUGGACUCUGGAUGGACUAACACGUUGCGAUGCCUGAUGCGUACGUACGCUGCGAUUCUGGAGUUGUAACGCUUACGCUGCGGUUCUGGAGUAUUACAUGUCACUCUCUGGCUGCACACACGGCGACUGACGUGCCGGUUUUCUGCAAGCUCUAGAAGCAUGGAGUAUCUGUCUAAUUAUUUGCAGGCAACCACCUGCUGUACAAAAAAUACUACAGCCACGGUAGGUAUCGUGCGAGACGUGUACCCUUUCACCUGCUCAUCACGGGCUUUAAAUACUCACUCUGUACGUAGGUGCGGCACUCAUCGAAUUAAAAGAGGGGACAUGUCUCUAGCACGGGAAUUUCUUAGGAUCUAAGGGUUGGUGACAGGCCUACGAGCAAAAUCUAAGAGGACAAAGGGAUCCCAGAUGAGGAAGGACGAUCUGGCUUUAUGGUAUUUAAAAAACUUGAAAGGCCAGGACGGUUGUUAAGCAAUUCUUCAGAUCUAACAAAGCGACCAAAAUGGCGCCCAAGCGCUACGCAAAGUAGCUGCACAUACGACAACCGAAACAAUUUAGAUGUUUCGGUGCGGCAUUAGAUACCAUAUAAGAACUGCGUAAUUACAUUAGCAUUUUGAUCGGCCAUAUAUAAUUUAAG